rnacentral:tmRNA from 1 species
GGGGGCGACUUGGCUUCGACGUGGUCGAUUCUCCGGCAGAGCUGCAAGCCGAGGUCGCCGGUUGGCCUCGAAAAUCCACCGGCAAAACAGUACGUGCGAAGAACAAUCUCGCACUCGCUGCCUAAUCUAAUUAGGUAAGCGACGUCGCUCCGAAUUGGGCCCGUGGUUCGGGUAGCGGCGCCAGAUAACGGGCUCGGCGCGGAGGGAGAGCCAAUCGCCCAAAGCGCGACACUUAAGGAUGGCUAGAUCGUCGGUAGGGCGUCCGCCCCCGGCCGACGUUCGAAGUUAAAGCGCGGACUACGCUUGUAGACGUUCUGACCGGUGCGACGACGGACGCGGGUUCGAUUCCCGCCGCCUCCACUC